UACGGAAGGCAGCAGUGGGGAAUAUUGCACAAUGGGCGCAAGCCUGAUGCAGCCAUGCCGCGUGUAUGAAGAAGGCCUUCGGGUUGUAAAGUACUUUCAGUCGUGAGGAAGGUGUUAAGGUUAAUAACCUUAGCAAUUGACGUUAGCGACAGAAGAAGCACCGGCUAACUCCGUGCCAGCAGCCGCGGUAAUACGGAGGGUGCGAGCGUUAAUCGGAAUUACUGGGCGUAAAGGGCACGCAGGCGGUUAAUUAAGUUGGAUGUGAAAUCCCCGGGCUUAACCUGGGAAUGGCAUUCAAGACUGGUUAGCUAGAGUCUUGUAGAGGGGGUAGAAUUCCAUGUGUAGCGGUGAAAUGCGUAGAGAUGUGGAGGAAUACCGGUGGCGAAGGCGGCCCCCUGGGACAAAGACUGACGCUCAUGUGCGAAAGCGUGGGGAGCGAAACAGGGAUUAGAUACC
rnacentral:rRNA from 1 species